AGAAUUUGGGGGAAAAAUAAGAUCACAGAACUGCCGAUAACAUUAGUUAUGCCGCCAAGCUUUUGGAAGCAAUCUCGUAUACAUUCUCGGAAAGUCCAUUUGCUGACAGUAUCCUCUCAAGCUGGGCCUUAGCAAGAGCCUGCCUGCCUUCGUCAUAACGCCUCCACCUAGCUAAAGCUGUGACCACGCGAGCGGCCACCUGUGGGUUCAACUUGUCGAGUUGUAUCACUGCAUCACCCAAAAAUUUGUAACCUGAGCCAUCUUUUGCGUGGAAAUUCACAUGUGAUUGGCAAAAUCCACCAAUCAGAGAAGAGACCUUGUUUGGAUUGCGCAUGUCAAAGGCAGGAUGAUUCAAAAGGUUUUGGACAUUAACAAUAUUUCCAGGAAUAGACGACGAAGAUUGAAUGAGCAACCAUUUGUUUACAACCAAAGGAUCAUGAGACCACUUCUUAUAGAAAUCUGCGAGAGCAUCCUCACGAGCUUGACCAGGCUUUUGAGCAAUAGCCACUAAGGCACCAAUUUGAUCAGUCAUGUUUGUUGCUGUGUUGUACUCGUGUAACACAAUACUCAUGAGCUCCGGGUCAUCCAAGGACGCAAGAUACGUUAGAGCCGUGUUUUUCAAUGAACGUCGGGCCAUAUCAUGAUGGUUGAAAUUGUAAGGCUCGGAGCUUCUGUUGUUUUU
rnacentral:misc_RNA from 1 species